GACGAACGCUGGCGGCGUGCCUAAUACAUGCAAGUCGAGCGCUGAAGCUUGGUACUUGUUCCAACUGGCUGAGCAGCGAACGGGUGAGUAACGCGUGGGGAAUCUGCCUUUGAGCGGGGGACAACAUUUGGAAACGAAUGCUAAUACCGCAUAACAACUUUAAACACAAGUUUUAAGAUUGAAAGAUGCAAUUGCAUCACUCAAAGAUGAUCCCGCGUUGUAUUAGCUAGUUGGCGAGGUAAAGGCUCACCAAGGCGAUGAUACAUAGCCGACCUGAGCGGGUGAUCGGCCACAGUGGGACUGAGACACGGCUCAAACUGCGACGGGAGGCAGCAGUAGAGGAGAUGCAGCGAUGGGGGAAAGUCUAACAGAGCCACGCCGCGUGAGUGAAGAAGGUGUGCGGGUCGUAAAAGUCUUUGGGUUGAGAAGAACGUUGGUGAGAGAGGAAAGCUCAUCAAGUGACAGUUACUGCCGAAAAAGCGACGACUAACUUC
rnacentral:rRNA from 1 species